rnacentral:rRNA from 1 species
GACGAACGCUGGCGGCGUGCUUAACACAUGCAAGUCGAACGGUGAAGCGCUUGCCUUUUUGGUGGGUGUGGAUGAGUGGCGAACGGGUGAGUAACACGUGAGUAACCUGCCCUCUUCUUCUGGAUAACCUCAUGAAAGUGGGGCUAAUACGGGGUAUUCCGGGUCUGUCGCAUGGCGGGUUUGGGAAAGAUUGCGCCUUUGGGUGUUUUCGGUGGGGGAUGGGCUCGCGGCCUAUCAGCUUGUUGGUGGGGUGAUGGCCUACCAAGGCGGUGACGGGUAGCCGGCCUGAGAGGGUGGACGGCCACACUGGGACUGAGACACGGGCCAGACUCCUGCGGGAGGCAGCAGUGGGGAAUAUUGCACAAUGGGCGCAAGCCUGAUGCAGCGACGCCGCGUGAGGGGUGGAGGCCUUCGGGUUGUGAACCUCUUUCGCCAGUGAAGCAGGCCUGCUCCUGUGUGGGUGGGUUGACGGUAGCUGGAUAAGAAGCGCCGGCUAACUACGUG